rnacentral:tRNA from 1 species
GGGCCCUUAGCUUAGUGGUAGAGCGCCUCGUUUGCAACGAGGAGGUCACCGGUUCGAAUCCGGUAGGGUCCACCA